rnacentral:rRNA from 1 species
GACGAACCGUGCGAACGUUGUUCGGAAUCACUGGGCUUAAAGGGCGCGUAGGCGGGCUGUCAAGUCUGGGGUGAAAUCCCGCGGCUCAACCGUGGAACUGCCUCAGAUACUGACGGCCUCGAGGGAGAUAGGGGCGAGCGGAACUGAUGGUGGAGCGGUGAAAUGCGUUGAUAUCAUCAGGAACUCCGGUGGCGAAGGCGGCUCGCUGGGUCUCUUCUGACGCUGAUGCGCGAAAGCCAGGGGAGCAAACGGG